AAGCAAUCCGUACCAGACAUGCACAGCAGUAGCUCCCAUGUAUCCUGUUCUCCCAUGUUCUCCAAGGAUGUGGUGUGGUAACCUGAGUCUUGGCUCACCAAAGCCGGCAAUGAGUCAAGAAAGAAGCAUGGUGUUGAAAAUGAACUUUGCACAAAGAUGUGAUUUUUUGAAGAACAUCAUCCUAAUCUGAGGUUUAAGAACUCGACACCAAAAAGUACCCUUCUAGUGCUCUGAGGCCCCGUGACAGAUACUUGAAACAGAAUAAAGAUCCUGCGUAUACAAUGGGCGUUUAUGUGAGUGAUGAUUGAAGAUUCAAGCUCUUGUCUGGCUUUUCUGUCUCUGUCAGGUACAUGCAUUUUGUUCCUCUAUUCCAAUUUCCAGCUCAAGGAGACACCGA